GGUGGCUCAGUAGUAGAGUGCUUGCCUGUCAUGCAUGAGGGCCUGGGUUUGAUUCCUCAGCACCA
rnacentral:tRNA from 1 species